CGGACGGGUGAGUAAUGUCUGGGAAACUGCCUGAUGGAGGGGGAUAACUACUGGAAACGGUAGCUAAUACCGCAUAACGUCGCAAGACCAAAGAGGGGGACCUUAGGGCCUCUUGCCAUCGGAUGUGCCCAGAUGGGAUUAGCUAGUAGGUGGGGUAAAGGCUCACCUAGGCGACGAUCCCUAGCUGGUCUGAGAGGAUGACCAGCCACACUGGAACUGAGACACGGUCCACGA
rnacentral:rRNA from 1 species